GAUGAACGCUGGCGGCGUGCCUAGUACAUGCAAGUCGAGCGAACAGAUGAGGAGCUUGCUCCUCUGACGUUAGCGGCGGACGGGUGAGUAACACGUGGAUAACCUACCUAUAAGACUGGGAUAACUUCGGGAAACCGGAGCUAAUACCGGAUAAUAUAUUGAACCGCAUGGUUCAAUAGUGAAAGACGGUUUUGCUGUCACUUAUAGAUGGAUCCGCGCCGCAUUAGCUAGUUGGUAAGGUAACGGCUUACCAAGGCAACGAUGCGUAGCCGACCUGAGAGGGUGAUCGGCCACACUGGAACUGGGACACGGUCCAGACUCCUACGGGAGGCAGCAGUAGGGAAUCUUCCGCAAUGGGCGAAAGCCUGACGGAGCAACGCCGCGUGAGUGAUGAAGGUCUUCGGAUCGUAAAACUCUGUUAUUAGGGAAGAACAAAUGUGUAAGUAACUAUGCACGUCUUGACGGUACCUAAUCAGAAAGCCACGGCUAACUACGUG
rnacentral:rRNA from 1 species